rnacentral:rRNA from 1 species
GAAAGAUGACAAGCACUUUGAAAAGAGGGUGAAAAGAGCCUGAAACCGUCACGGGGGAAGCGGAUCGCGUUGGAUUGAUGGGCGCUUGCGUGUUCAGCCCUUUGGGUGCAUUGGCGCAAGUUGCUUAUCCGCUGUGAGUUUUCGGGGGUCGAUUUUGGACCCCUGGGGACUGAGGGCUCCCUUUUACAGGUGAGGACAGCGGAGUGACGACGCGAUACGACCCGUCUUGAAACACGGACCAAGGAGUCUAGCGCGGGUGCGAGUCGGAGGGUGCAAGCCCGUGGGCGAAGUGAAAGCGAGUGUAAAAACGAGCAGUUUGGGGCGGCAUAAGAUCGUUGAUCUUAAGACCGACCCAGAGCAGUUGCGCUGGGACCCGAAAGAUGGUGAACUAUGCCGGAGUAGGGCAAAGCCAGAGGAAACUCUGGUGGAGGCUCGUAGCGGUGCUGACGUGCAAAUCGCUCGUCGAACUUGGGUAUAGGGGCGAAAGACUAAUCGAACCAUCUAGUAGCUGGUUCCCUCCGAAGUUUCUCUCAGGAUAGCGGGCCGACAAGUUGUUUUGUGCGGUAAAGCGAAUGAUUAGCGCAUUUCGGGGGCGUUUAGCCUUUGGGCGAUUCUCAAACUUUCAAUGCGCAAGGGUGCCGCUGCUUAAUUGAGCGGUACCGGUAAAAACGUCGGCCCUGUGGGCCACUUUUGGUAAGC